rnacentral:lncRNA from 1 species
AAAGAAAGACAUUUCUGGAGCAUUUGCUGUGGGCCAGUCCCUGUGUUUUUACAGGUUAGUAUUUUCUUUUGUUUUGAACCUCAACAAUCCUGUCAAGCCGAUCUGACAACUCCCAUUUUCACAGAUGCACCUCAGAGCGGUCCAAAGCUAUUAAAAGGCAGAGCCCGCACCUAACCUUGACCCCACACUGUGGGGCCUGGUCUGUGUUCUGGGGUAGGAGGGGGUGGAGCUGCUGGAGGGAAGGGGAGGGGGAGGGGAAGGGGAGGCCCAGCCCCCACAUCCCCUGCCCCAGCGAACAUCCUCUCUGCCUGCCUUUGUUCACAAAACCGAAAAAGUGAUGAUGGUUUUCCUUCCUCUCUUUAAGAAAACAACAGAAUCAAAACAAACAGAGAAGGGGAACUCCCUCCUGUAGCUUUUGCCAGAAUCAAAAGGAAGAAAUAGUCCCAGUUCAGCCCUGGGCCGCCAGCUACUGGGACAAGGUGUGCCAGGGGAGGGGAGAGCAUCCCUCGCAAAAACCCGGCUUCCAGCGUCCCCCUCCUCCUGGUCCUGAGCCAACCCUUCCCCCUCGGGCCACCUCAUUCCCCAAGAAGAGACACACGUGCAUACACACGCCCAGAGCUGAGGCAGCUGAAACUUCCCAGAGGGCCUUAGUAAAUCCUAAGGAAGGGCAAAAAGGAAACGAGAAUGCCUCUCCCCCCCAGACAAAACACAAACGAGCACCGGCCACCUCCCAUGGCUGGUUCCCACUCAGGGCUGCCAGGUCCUGCCCCAUUUCUCACUUCUGAGCUACCCUCACUCUAGUCUCCUAAGGGCAGUGAUACCUCACAGGGUCCCUUUCUUCCCAGAGUCAGGCUCUCCUGUACCUUAGCGGCCACAACCAUCCAAGUCUGGAGUAGCCUUAGGUGCAUGGUACUGCAGGACACCUGUCCUUACCCUGGCCAGAGCCCUCCCAUUCAUCCCCUAGUUCAGCGUGCACUUCCAGAUGUCUUGUGCUGAUUGGCUCAUUUAGGGUGACUGACAGCUUCAGAGAUCCGCCCCUUGUAUACAGGGAGGAGGCCUUAAAGGCUCAGCAGUGUCCUUCUAACCAAAGGUCUUGGUCCCAUGAAACUGGGACACUCCUCUGCGAUCCAACGUCACUCUUUGACAGGGAUUCUGGGGCCAAGAACACCUUUUGAAAACUGCCUGGAUAAAGGAAUUUGUGGUCCGGGUUCAAGGUCAGACUAUAGCUCAAGAUUAGUCCCCCCUUCCCCAACUGAGACUAAUUAGCCCCCACAAGUACUAAUGAGUAGUUAGUUUUGAACUCAGUGCUAGACUUGGUCCUGUGGGAAAUGCAAGAAGACAGAUGUGUCUCAGAAUCUUUGAGGGACUUGGGAGAGAUGGUGGCAAGGAGAGGGCUGUGCCAAAGCAAUUGGAGGGGUGGCUAAAAAGAAAGUUGGCUCCUCUUGGACACGUGGGAGGUCAGAGGGAGAAAGAGUACAGGGGAUGCUGCUAACUGUUGGGAGAAUAACUGCUCUGCAGCAUCCUGCUCUCCCUCUUGCUUCCUCAGGCUGACAGGUCCUACAUUUAGCAGGUGUUCCACUGGUAUUUGUGGGACAAACAGCCACUGUCUAGGCUUCACUGGCAGCAGAGGGUCAGCGGUCAAGCAAAGACAACUCUCCCGAGGAGGAGGCCAGGGCAGGGCUGAGAUCAGACCUUCCACCUCUGCGACCAAUCCCUUUUCCUUAGCCUCUCCAGCGCCCCCUCGGCCUUCAUCUUUCUCCCCGAGAAACCUUGGCCAGCUCCCCAAAUAAAGUCUAUGACAGCUGCGACUCUACCCCCAACUGGAGUGAGUGCAGUGGCUGGAGGCUCAGGCUCCACAGUCAACCCCUGAGUUAAGAUUCUGUCUCCACUCCUUACUUGUCCUUGACCCAGGACAAGUUCCUGAUCUUUCCCAAACCUCUGUUUCCUCUCUGUAGGCUGGGGAUGCUAAGACUAUCCGCUUGUAGAGGUGCAGUGAGGGUUAAAUGAGAUGGAUGCCCCAGAGAUACACAGUGGAGCCCCCCGCACUUGAUCUCAUUCCUCUGCAACAAGGACUGUUUUGUCUUCCCACUGGCCCAGGAAGCCUCUUGAGGGCGAGCCCCAUGAGCUCGUGGCCCUGUCUCCUCUCCCAGGUCCCAGCUCAAUGUGGCGCCAUUGAAGGAGCUCAGUAAUGCUUGUAGACCAGGAGUAGAAUUUAGGAAGUUGGCCUGGAGUAGGUGGAUUUGAUUUCUCCCUGGCCCAGGACACCCUCCUCUGCCACUCCCACCCCCAGCACACUCCUACACAGUCUUUUUAUUUUUUUUUUUCCUUUUUUGGGCACCCCUUGGCAUAUGGAGGUCCCUGGUCGGGGAUCAGCUCCGAGCCACAGUUGCGAUCCAAGCCACAGCUACUGCAACGCCAGAUCCUUUAACUCACUGUGCCCGGCUGGGGAUUGGACCUGUGUCCCCACACCCCAGAGUUGCCACCUAUCCUGUUGUACCACAGUGCAAACUCCAUUUUUUCAUGUUGUUGUUCUUCUUCUUCAGUCUUUAAGACUUUGCUCUAUCUGCCUCCUCCAGGAAGUCUUCUCUGGUUCUCAGGUUGGGUCAGGCCCCUCCAUGUCCCUGCUGCAUGCAUGGCAGACAAGUCUUGAGCAAUGCACUAUUACAGAGUGGCCCUUGGUUUAGGCAACUGGUACCCAGGAGGCUAUGCCUCAUCUCACUCCUCUGCCAAGUCUGGCUCAGCAGCAGCUCCAAGUUUUGAUGAAUGAAUUCAUGAAUUUGUUCUGUGACCAUGAGCAAAUUCCCUCUGUCACCUUCUAACAAGAGGAAAAUACGGAUCUUUCUUGAAUAAGUGGGAGGGAGCGGCCCAGAGGUGGAGGGGGCAGGGCCAGGGGAGACAUGGAGAGGCUUCUGGCCAAACCGGGUCCUUCCGGGGCAACCAAAUUGGCUCAUCAAGUGAGAGUCCAGUGGAAAAAAUUGCCCCACACCUGAUGUGCCCCUGGUGGGGGGGCUCUUCCCCUGUGAGGAAAGAAGGUCAUUGUCCCUUGGCAAGGCCAGUUGAAAAAAAGGAGGUUGGUGUUCCCAUCGUGGCUCAGCAAUGAGCGACCAGCAUCCAUGAAGACACAGGUUCAAUCCCUGGCCUCGCUCAGUGGGUUAAGGAGCUGGGGUUGCUGUGGCUCUGGAAAGGCCGGUGGCUACAGCUGAUUCGACCCCUAGCCUGGGAACCUCCAUAUGCCGUGGGCGCGGCCUUAAAAAGACAAAAAUACCAAAAAGAAAAAAAAAAAAGAAGAAUAACAGGAGUUUUAUGUAUCCAGGCUCUAUCCAGUAACCUGGUCCCCAAGACCUUCCCACAGGAACUUCCCCACCCUCCUGGCCGUCAGCACUGCUGUGUCCUUGAACCGGUCACCACUCAUCCCUGGACUUCCAAGUUCUCUCUCCUGACCAGAGCUUAAGGUGCCACCAUGGGCCGGUGCCCGGGAAGGAGGCCAGGGAUGGACUCCUGGCUGGCUGACCACCCCCAGUCGGGGGCUGGCCUGAGCAGGCAGGUUUCAGCUUUCAGCUUUCAGCUUUCAGCGUGUUUUCCUGUCUAAGGCACUUUCUAUUUUUCAAUACUUUUCCUAACUCCGCCAAACAACGAAAAAGGAAAUUGGUGCACCUUCAAAGAGCUGGGAGAGUGGGGGUGGGCAGAACCCAGCCUGGCUGGGCCAGAGGGGCCCCCCAUUUCCCCAGCCCUCCCUCUCCCCUCCCUGCCAGGCUGACUCAUUGUUUUGCAACAAACAGCAGGCAGCCAGGCUCUGGCAGUUUCUCGAAGUCCGGCCCCAAAGCAGGCUGGGUUCAAUCCCGGCCCUCCCCACGGCCCGCCAGGCCCGGAAUGAUUGGGUUAUCUCCGCCUGCAUUCCCUUUGUUUGAGGCGGCCACUUGCUCACUCGAGGUAAACAGACUCUGGGCAAUGAAGAAACAUGAAGGGACCCAUUAUCUCUGGAGACCAGAGCGAUCCCUCUCCUCCUGACUGGUUCCCCUGCGAAGAGGAGGGGUUUCAGAGCUGAGCAUCCAGAGACUGGUGCCUGGGUUCAAUCCCGGCCCUGCAGCUCCCUGCAGGUGACCUUGGGCAAGUCCCCGAGCCUGUCUGCUUCCACCUUCCAGUCCACAGAAUGUCGGGAUAAUAGUACCUUCCUCAGAGUCGUUCUGGGCACUGAUGAGUUAGUUCAUGUUUAUGAUGGGCUAGUUUUUAAAAAGAGCUCCAUAGAAGCGGUGUUAAAUGGGGGUGGGGGAAGGUCUAGAAUAAUGUCAAAAAUAAUAAACCCAGAGUUCCCGUUCGGUGGCAUCUUGGGGGCACUGGUACGCAGAUGCGAUCCCCAGCCUGGCACAAGUGGGUUAAGGAUCCAGCGUUGCCUCUGCUGCAGCUUAGGUCACAACACGGCUUGGAUGUGAUCCCUGGCCUGGGAACUCCAUAUGCUUUUGGGAGACCCAAAAAAAGGGGAAAAAAAUUAAUAAACCCGUCACCUGGAGUUCCCAUCAUGGCUCAGCAGAAAUGAAUCUGACUAGCAUCCAUAAGGAUGCAGGUUCAAUCCCUGGCCUUGCUCAGUGGGUUAAGGAUCCGGCAUUGCCAUGAG